rnacentral:rRNA from 2 species
CCUGGUGGUUUUGGCGGGGUGGCUGCACCCGAUCCCAUUCCGAACUCGGCCGUGAAACACCCCAGCGCCGAUGGUACUUCGUCUUAAGACGCGGGAGAGUAGGUCGCUGCCAGGU